GAAAGCUUGGCCUUACGAUCCUUUUGGUUAUAACGAGUUUUUAGCAAGAGGUGUCAGAAAAGUUACCACAGGGAUAACUGGCUUUUUUUUUUUUUUUUUAUAAUAUGGAUCUUUCGGUCCCCUUUUAUUCGCAUAUCAGGAUCCCGAACCCUUCCCCUGUCGCCGUGCCCCUCGCGGGGUCUUGUUACAGAGUGUUAUUUUUC
rnacentral:ncRNA from 1 species